rnacentral:rRNA from 1 species
AUUGAACGCUGGCGGCAGGCCUAACACAUGCAAGUCGAACGAGUGGCGGACGGGUGAGUAAUGUCUGGGAAACUGCCUGAGUGAGGGGGAUAACUACUGGAAACGGUAGCUAAUACCGCAUACCAUCGGAUGUGCCCAGAUGGGAUUAGCUAGUAGGUGGGGUAAAGGCUCACCUGGGCGACGAUCCCUAGCUGGUCUGUGAGGAUGACCAGCCACACGGGAACUGAGAAACGGUCCAGAAUCCUACGGGAGGCAGAAGUGGGGAAUAUUGCACAAUGGGCGCAAGCCUGAUGCAGCAAUGCCGCGUGUAUGAAGAAGGCCUUCGGGUUGUAAAGUACUUUCAGCGGGGAGGCGUUACCCGAAGAAGAAGCACCGGCUAACUCCGUGCCAGCAGCCGCGGUAAUUC